rnacentral:sRNA from 1 species
ACAAGUUGUAAGCGACUGAUCUGAGUUC